rnacentral:rRNA from 1 species
UACGGAGGGUGCAAGCGUUAUCCGGAUUCACUGGGUUUAAAGGGUGCGUAGGCGGGUUGGUAAGUCCGUGGUGAAAUCUCCGAGCUUAACUCGGAAACUGCCGUGGAUACUAUCAAUCUUGAAUAUCGUGGAGGUAAGCGGAAUAUGUCAUGUAGCGGUGAAAUGCUUAGAUAUGACAUAGAACACCAAUUGCGAAGGCAGCUUACUACACAAAUAUUGACGCUGAGGCACGAAAGCGUGGGGAUCAAACAGG